rnacentral:rRNA from 1 species
UACGUAGGGUGCAAGCGUUGUCCGGAAUUAUUGGGCGUAAAGAGCUCGUAGGCGGUUUGUCGCGUCGAAUGUGAAAACCCGGGGCUCAACCCCGGGCCUGCAUUCGAUACGGGCAGACUAGAGUUCGGUAGGGGAGUCUGGAAUUCCUGGUGUAGCGGUGAAAUGCGCAGAUAUCAGGAGGAACACCGGUGGCGAAGGCGGGUCUCUGGCCGAAAUUGACGCUGAGGAGCGAAGCGUGGGGAGCAACAGG